ACGGGGCUGCUGGCCGGAGGGCUGGCGAGGACCCGAGUUUGGCCAGGUUAUCAAGUUUCGUGGUCAGCCACCUUCGCCCCUGACCAGAGCUGUCUUUCCAAAACAGAACAUUCAGUCACCGCCCGUCCCUGUGCUCAGCUGUCCUUGUGCUCCUGACCUCGCUUCCUGCCCACCCGCCCAUUUGUUUUUUUCCUCCCCAUCCCCCAGUAUCCUUGUCUCUUACUGACAUCUCGCGAAGAUGACCAGGGCAGGCAAGACAGAGUCAGAGAGAAAGAGAAGCUGAGAGGCCCAGACGGGAGAGAAUCGGAGAGGCUGUCAGGCACUGAAGGAUCAGGACAGAGGCUGGUCACGAGUGAGACAAAGAGACGUGUGCCCAAGACCUCGUCUCCUGUAUCUUCGUUCUCCAGCAUCUGUUGCUGCUCGACACAGAGGAGGAGAGCACAAACCUGAGGCUUAGAGAGGUGAGGUCACUGACCUCAGGUCACAUAGCCAGAAAGUGGAGGAGCCAAGAGUCCAGAUGCAGAAACUGAGGCUCAGCUGAUGAAGCCCCUGGCCAGAGGUCACACAGCUGGAUUGAACCCAGAUGAAGAAACUGAGGCUCAGGAAGCUAGAGUCACUCUCUCAGGACCACCUGGUAAUUUGUUAAGUGGCAGAGCCAUGCGUCCAGCCCGGCCACCCUAUUGAGCAGAUAGCAGCCCCCAUUUCCUGAGCAGCUGCUGAGUGCCAGGCUACGCGAGCCAGAUGCCUUACCCACAUCGUCUCUUUCAACUGAGGUGGCAGUUCUCAGCCCAGCAGGAUUUUUUUCCCCUCAGGAGGCUUUAGGCUACAUCAGGGGUCAUUUGGGGUUUUCACAACUGGGGACAUGCUCCUGGCAUCUCAGGGAUGGAGAUCAGUGAUGCCUUUCAGCAUCCCACCCCGCAAAGGGCAGCCCCCACAGCACAGAACAUGAGUAAAUAAGAGUUGCUCAGUUGUGUCCAACUCUUCACGAACCCAUGGACUGUAGCCCUCCAGACUCCUCUGUCCAUGUAUUUCUGCAGGCCAGAAUACUGGAGUGGGUUUGCCAUGCCCUCCUCCAGGGGAUCUUCCUGAUCCAGGGAUGGAACCUGCGUCUCCCACAUUGCAGGCAGAUUCUUUACUGACUGAGCCACCAGGGAAGAUCCAGCCCCCAAUGUCAGUAGCAUGGAGGCUGAGAACCCCGCUGUAAGGUGAGGACAGGUGGGAACCCCGCUGUAAGGUGAGGACAGGUGAGAGCUCUGCAGUAACCCUGUUACAAUCUCCAGCCGCGGACGUGGAAGCCAAGGCACAGACAGAGAGCCCCACUGCUGGGGCUCCCACCCCAUGACCCUGCUCUUCCCUCACGAGACCCAAGGCCACUUCUGAUGGCGUCUGCCCUUAGGAGACCUCAACUAACCUCUAUUCCAGGCCCUCUGAAGCCCUUGCAUGCCUAAUAUAAACAAGGCCUCACUGCUUUUUCACAUGUGAAGACGGGGUUUUAAUCACCGACUGAGGAAAGAGAUCAAGCCAAAAAGUCACCGGGACAGUCAGAAUGGCUUUAAAUGUGUUGGUACCUUAUUCACAACAGCAGAGGGGGCCACUGGGAACUGGCCUCACAGGGAUUCGUGGAGCAAAGGUUUCCUGAGCACUGCUAGGUGCCAGGCCCUGUCUCUGGUGCAGGAGAUACAGCAGAGAACCAGACAGACCGGCCCUACUGGGUCUUUAAGAGAUAGCAGUCUUGUGGGGAUGGUGGAUAAUCAACAGGAAAACAAACAGUAAAGACAGCUUCAGACUGUGUGGAGAGGGAAGGGCUGUCACAGGGAGGGCAGAGUCCAAGGGGGCCUUUCUGAGGAGGUGGGACCUGAAGGAUACCAAGCAAUAGCCUUGGGAAGAGGCAGGGCGGAAGGCUCCAGGCCAAGGGAACAGCAUGUGCAAAGGCCCCAGGGCAGGCGCACGUGUGGAGUGUUGAGGCCCAGCAAACAGGCAUGGGGCUGGAGAGGAGCUUAGAGAAGUAACCAGCACACAGCUGUGUAGGACUCUGUGGCCACUGUAAGGGCUUUGCAUGUGCUCUGAGAGAGCUGGGGGUUAU